UACGAAGGGGGGCUAGCGUUGUUCGGAAUUACUGGGCGUAAAGCGCGCGCAGGCGGUCCUUCAAGUCAGAGGUGAAAGCCCAGAGCUCAACUCUGGAAUGGCCUUUGAGACUAGAGGACUUGGGUACGGGAGAGGUGAGUGGAAUUCCGAGUGUAGAGGUGAAAUUCGUAGAUAUUCGGAGGAACACCAGUGGCGAAGGCGGCUCACUGGUCCGGUACUGACGCUGAGGUGCGAAAGCGUGGGGAGCAAACAGG
rnacentral:rRNA from 1 species